rnacentral:rRNA from 1 species
AUUGAACGCUGGCGGCAGGCCUAACACAUGCAAGUCGAGCGGAUGAAGGGAGCUUGCUUCUGGAUUCAGCGGCGGACGGGUGAGUAAUGCCUAGGAAUCUGCCUGGCAGUGGGGGAUAACGUCCGGAAACGGGCGCUAAUACCGCAUACGUCCUGCGGGAGCAAGUGGGGGAUCUUCGGACAUCACGCUAUCAGAUGAGCGUAGGUCGGAUUAGUUAGUUGGUGGGGUAAAGGCCUACCAAGGCGACGAUCCGUAACUGGUCUGAGAGGAUGAUCAGUCACACUGAAACUGAGACACGGACCAGACUCCUACGGGAGGCAGCAGUGGGCAAUGUUGGGCAGUGGGCGAAAGCCUGAUCCAGCCAUGCGGCGUGUGUGAAGAAGGUCUUCGGAUUGUAAAGCACGUUAAGUUGGGAGGAAGGGCAGUAAGUUGAUACCUUGCUGUUUUGACGUUACCAACAAAAUAAGCACCGGCUAACUACGUG